rnacentral:SRP_RNA from 1 species
UCUGGGUGUAGAAGUCUACCUACCUUACCCGCCGGGCUACUCAGGAGGCUGAGACAGGAGGAUUGCUUGAGUCCAGGAGUUCUGGGCUGUAAUGCAGUAUACCAAUCCAGUGUCCACACUAAGUUCAGAAUCAAUAUGGUGAUGAUCUCGGGAGUGGGGGACCACCAGGUUGCCUAAGGAGAGGUGAAUCGGCCCAGGUUGGAGAUAGAGCAGGUCAAAACGCCCAUGCUGAUUAGUAGUGGGAUUGCGCCUGUGAACAGCCACUGCACUCCAGCCUGGACAACAGGGCUAGACCUGUUUCU